CUAAUAUGCUGAUACAAGAAAAAAAAAGAAAAAAUCGUAAAUCAUUAGUAUAGUUAGAAAUAGAAAUGUUAAUGAGACCAACUGUUCUUAGAGCAAGUGGCAAAGAGUUUGGUGGUUGGCACCUGAGACCCAAAUUCGAAUCCUAGUUGAUUCAUAUUUCCAGCUAAGUUUAUUUCUAAAUAAAAUAAACGUAGCGGGUAGCAUGCUACCUAUCUCUCUCUAAAAAAAAAAGGGUAAAAAAAGAAGAAAUGUCAACGAGUCGAACACGACCGAGCUGGGGCCAACUUGUUUCAUUAACGAGUUGAUUUCGAGCUGGCUCAUUAAAGUCUUAAGCCGAAAAAAAUACGAGCUGCCUCACGAACAAUAAGUUAAAAAAUUGAAAAGAAAAAAAAUAUAUAUAGUAAAUAAGUUUAUAAAAUUUCAUCCAUUAGACUUUGAUGUAAUGGUUGAAACUUUUCACAUAAACCAAUCUUUUUUUAUAAUUGAGUUAGCUUUUAUAUUUAGGUUGGGCUAAAACUAAAAGAAUAAAAAUUUGUAUAACAUAUAUAUAAUUAUUUAUUUAUAUAUAAAUAAAUAUAAAAUAUAUGUAUUUGAACUGUUAUCGAGCCGAACACGAGUAAGCUGACCCCAGCUCGUGUUCGGCUCAAUUUAUUAGACCAGCAAUUCGAUUGCGAGCUUAUUUCGAGCUGACUCACGAACGGCGAGCUGAAUGGAGGACGAGAAUAAUUAAGUUAAAAUAAAAUUUAAUGAAAAAUAAAGGGAUUAAUGA
rnacentral:lncRNA from 1 species